UGUGAAGACAAAUGAAGUUUUAAUGGAGGAGAUCACAGAGCGUGACGAAGGUGCUCUCAAGUAUCUGAAAGAUAUCAAUUGGUGCAGGAUUGAAGAGCUCAAGGGAUUCAAUUCAAGUCUUUUUGUUUAGAUAUUGAUCUUAGAUGCUCCUCCAGCUCUUCAGAAGCUAAGAGAGAACUUUCCUAGGUAAAAUUUAGUCACUUGUUUUAUGUGUUACUGUAAUUCUGCGUAAUUCUCUUCCUUCCAGACUGAAUAAAUGUUUUUAUUCAUGAAAUUUUUAAGCUUUAUGUGUACACUGGGACAAUCGACCCCACGGUAAAUGAGAAGAGGUAAUUUUCUCACUGGGAAUAUACAAUAAUUGAAGAAUAAAUGAUCAUUGGCUUAAACCUUCUAAAAUUCGAGAUGACGUCUUCUAUUUUGCAGGUUUAUAAUUCCUAGAUUCGGAGAGCAGGAGACCGUAGAUUUGGAACAUAAAACAGUUGUAGAAGUAGGUUUUUUCUUCUAAGCUGUAGUAGUUCUAUUAUCAGUUUUGAAAGAUAUUCAUAUUGAUCCAGAGAACCAACUGAUAUUCAUUUAGUUUAUUUUGAUUGAGAUUUUUCCAUUCCAGUUUCAAUGAACAUAAAGUAUGGGGUUAGAUUGUAAUCCAAUUAAACUAGUACUUUUGCAUAUAGGGUUACAGAGUGAUUUUGGUGAAUGGAAAUAGUUAUCACUUUACAGAACAUGGUCUUGACUACCUACUACAUGGUUUUCUGAUUUCUCAAAAAUGAUUAUCAAAAACAU